GCACAAGCGGUGGAGCAUGUGGUUUAAUUCGACGCAACGCGAAGAACCUUACCUGGCCUUGACAUGUUGGGAACUUUCCAGAGAUGGAUUGGUGCCUUCGGGAACCCAAACACAGGUGCUGCAUGGCCGUCGUCAGCUCGUGUCGUGAGAUGUUGGGUUAAGUCCCGUAACGAGCGCAACCCCUAUCCCUAGUUGCUAGCAGUUCGGCUGAGAACUCUAGGGAGACUGCCGGUGACAAACCGGAGGAAGGUGGGGAUGACGUCAGGUCAUCAUGGCCCUUACGGCCAGGGCUACACACGUGCUACAAUGGCGCGCACAGAGGGCUGCAAACCCGCGAGGGGGAGCCAAUCUCAC
rnacentral:rRNA from 1 species